CUCCCGACAUCACCCCCACCACAUCCUCAAUGCCUCUCUGAACAACAUAUAGGAAGAGCGCGGGAGGAGGAGGAGGAGGAGGAGGAGACCCAGGGAGGCAAAGAGAAAGAAGAAGAUGAGGAUUAUUUGCAGACAGCUUGUCUUGUUGUUUUCUGGAUUUUGGGGACUUGCAAUGGGCGCUUUUCCUAGCAGCGUGCAAAUAGGUGGUCUCUUCAUCAGAAACACAGAUCAGGAAUAUACUGCUUUUCGAUUAGCAAUUUUUCUUCACAACACCAGCCCCAAUGCAUCUGAAGCACCUUUUAAUUUGGUUCCUCAUGUUGACAACAUCGAAACAGCAAAUAGCUUCGCUGUAACAAAUGCCUUCUGCUCCCAGUACUCACGAGGAGUUUUUGCUAUUUUUGGACUGUACGAUAAAAGAUCAGUACACACCUUGACCUCAUUCUGCAGCGCCUUGCACAUCUCCCUCAUCACACCCAGUUUCCCCACAGAGGGUGAAAGCCAGUUUGUGCUGCAACUGAGGCCUUCCUUACAAGGAGCGUUGCUAAGUUUGCUGGGUCAUUAUAAAUGGAAUCGCUUUGUCUUCCUUUAUGACACGGAUAGGGGUUACUCAAUACUUCAAGCUAUUAUGGAAACAGCAGGAGAAAAAAGCUGGCAAGUUAGUGCCAUAUGUGUGGAGAAUUUUAACGAUGCAAGCUACAGGCAGCUUUUAGAAGAUUUGGACCGAAGACAAGAAAAGAAAUUUGUAAUAGAUUGUGAAAUAGAGAGACUUCAGAAUCUAUUAGAACAGAUUGUGAGUGUUGGAAAACAUGUUAAAGGCUAUCAUUACAUUCUUGCAAAUCUGGGAUUCAAAGAUAUUUCCCUGGAGAGAUUUAUGCACGGAGGAGCCAACAUCACAGGGUUUCAGUUAGUGGACUUCAAUACACCUAUGGUUUCUAAACUCACGCAACGGUGGAAGAAACUGGACCAGAGAGAAUACCCAGGAUCAGAAACUCCUCCUAAGUAUACCUCUGCUCUGACUUAUGAUGGAGUACUUGUGAUGGCUGAGACUUUCCGAAAUCUUCGAAAGCAGAAAAUAGAUAUUUCUCGAAGAGGAAAUGCUGGAGAUUGUCUUGCAAAUCCAGCUGCACCAUGGAGCCAAGGACUUGACAUGGAGAGAACACUAAAACAGGUUCGAAUACAGGGACUGACUGGAAAUGUUCAAUUUGACCACUACGGUCGCAGAGUCAACUAUUCGAUGGAUGUAUUUGAACUGAAGAGCACUGGUCCUCGAAAGAUUGGAUACUGGAAUGACAUGGAUAAAUUAGUCUUGAUCCAACAUGAGCCUACAAUGGGCAAUGACACAGCUGCCCUUGAGAACAGAACAGUAAUUGUAACUACAAUUAUGGAAGCCCCCUAUGUUAUGUGGAAAAAAAACAGAGAAUUGUUUGAAGGGAAUGAGAAGUAUGAAGGUUACUGUGUAGACCUGGCAUCAGAAAUUGCAAAGCAUAUUGGCAUCAAAUAUAAAAUUGCUAUUGUCCCUGAUGGAAAAUACGGAGCAAGGGAUCCACAGACAAAAAUCUGGAACGGGAUGGUGGGAGAGCUUGUAUAUGGGAAAGCAGAAAUUGCAGUUGCACCUCUGACCAUCACUCUGGUGCGUGAGGAGGUUAUCGAUUUUUCUAAGCCCUUUAUGAGUCUUGGCAUAUCCAUUAUGAUCAAAAAGCCUCAGAAAUCUAAACCAGGAGUCUUUUCAUUCCUGGACCCCUUGGCCUAUGAAAUUUGGAUGUGCAUAGUCUUUGCCUACAUUGGGGUCAGUGUUGUCCUAUUCCUGGUGAGCAGGUUUAGUCCAUAUGAAUGGCAUACAGAAGAGCCAGAGGAUGGUAGAGAAGGACCCAGUGAUCAACCUCCGAAUGAAUUUGGCAUCUUCAACAGUCUUUGGUUUUCCCUGGGUGCCUUUAUGCAGCAAGGAUGUGAUAUUUCACCCAGGUCCCUCUCAGGUCGCAUAGUUGGAGGUGUGUGGUGGUUCUUCACGCUGAUCAUAAUUUCAUCAUAUACCGCUAACCUUGCUGCUUUCUUGACUGUUGAGCGAAUGGUCUCACCCAUAGAAAGUGCAGAAGACCUCGCAAAACAAACAGAAAUUGCUUACGGGACUCUGGACUCUGGUUCAACAAAAGAAUUCUUCAGAAGAUCUAAAAUAGCAGUAUAUGAAAAGAUGUGGGCAUACAUGAGCACAACAGACCCAUCCGUCUUCGCUAGGACCACAGCGGAGGGCGUUGCCCGUGUGCGCAAGUCCAAGGGCAAGUUUGCCUUCCUCCUGGAAUCCACCAUGAAUGAAUACAUUGAGCAGCGAAAGCCAUGUGACACCAUGAAAGUGGGAGGAAACCUGGACUCGAAAGGCUACGGAGUAGCCACACCAAAGGGUUCUUCAUUAAGAAAUGCUGUUAACCUGGCAGUUUUAAAACUGAAUGAACAAGGCCUCUUGGACAAAUUGAAAAACAAAUGGUGGUACGACAAAGGAGAGUGUGGCAGCGGGGGAGGUGACUCCAAGGUUAGCCUCAAUGUCACCAAAGCGGGUAAACAGAACUGUUGAGUUGAGUAAUUGGUGCGUCUGCUGAGGUUCCUCCUUCCAGCUCGCCAGACCCAACGGUGUCCUGUGGCACUUGCAAAUCAAUUGCCAACCAACAUCCAGAUGUAUGCAAUUACUGUCAAAGCAAAAAUAUUUGCAUCCUAAUCAGAUUUUCUUUUUGACCAAGGCCAACUGGUUCGUCUUGAAGUACAAAUUGGAGUUUUUCUUGCCAUUUUGGUAUUUUUUUUAAAAAAAAGUGAAUCAUUUGGGAAUAAUAUCCAUCUCCUAAGUAAAUUUUCUGAACCUCUACCAGAAGAUAGAAAAGUGCUGAUAAAUUAUAAUGUGGCAUGGUUAAAACACAAAUGAAUGGCAUGGUGGCCUAGAGGUGGAGUUCUCACCAUAGAUGGCCAUGAGUUCAAUCCUAGGGAGUGGCAGAUAUUUCUCUCUCUGGGCGCAAAGAGAAAAUAUCUGCUGUGAGCUCUGGGUAGGCAUCAGGAAGGGUAUCUGGCUAGUAAACACUCAGGUCCAUUCAGUCACCCUGACUUCACCUUGAUGCAAGGGAUUACAGGGUUGUUAAAUUUUUUAAAAAGCCCACAAAUAACUAGUUUUACCAUAAAGGGUUAUAGGUUUAAUCUCACCUCUAAUUCCUUAAAUGAAAUAAAUCCUUUUCAUCAUGUAUCUUUCAUCAUAUUUUUCCUGUCCUGGCAUAAUUCUUUGUUAGGACAGAUUUGCACAAUACUGACUUGAAAGUGGGCCUAUUGUAGUUUCUUCAAAAGAACCUGAGAAAGAUAAUCCUACUUUACAAUUCAGUUGUGUCAACAGAAGAGAAUAUCUGUAAUUCAAGGUUGAACUGUGCAGUUCUUGAUGGUCUCCGAGCUGAUUGUUUGCUUGCAGACAUUUCAUUGCGCAUCUAGUAAACACCAUCAGUGUUAAUGAGUGUGGGGUUUGUAGUCUGUUUAGAUAUAACACAUCCCUGUCCCUUGGCAGGACAAUCUACGAUAUAUAAACAGGCAAUAGAUAGCCCUCUCUUCACAAUGACAAUUGGGAUCAGGAUUUCUAUCACUAAAUAACACAGUCAUAAAGCAUGACAUAAUGUGACUGCAAUGGAAUGCAAUGGAAAUUCCAACACUUUUUAUUGCUGUCAUUAAGAGGAUCACUGCAGGAUGUUAAGCAAGGAUGUCAUAUGGUUGCCAUUUGCUAUUUUCUGCAAGUUUCCCCAUUGACUUUGCUUGUAGGAAACUGUCAAAAAAAGUCACAAAUGGCACCCACAUGACACAUGACAUGGAGAUGUUGUAAUCACAAGCUGGACGCUGAGCACUCAGAUCAUGGGGAUGUUAUGAUGCUGUAAGUACAAAGACCAGUUGUAAAUACCACUCUUUCUACACCAUUUUAAGUUUGAAUAGUCAGUGAACAAGUAAUUAUUAAACAAGGACUACCUAUAGAAACCCUGCAUUCACUCACUCUGAUGAUGUUAUCUAAUUAGAUAAUGAAACUUCUGCAAGCAAACAAGCCCAGAGAACACCAUAAACUCCACAAUUCAAGUUAUCCUCUGAAUGCUAUAGUCAACACAUACUGAAAAUUGUAUAAUUCAAUUUAUCAAGUCAAAGUGUUCUGUUGAGUACAAGAAAAAACAGUCAGAAAUGUUAGUUAUUAGCUGAUACUUCCUUUUGUAAUACAUACUUCAGAAAAUCUCAUGAAGUCAAUUACUUCAAAAAUGGAUAAGGCUAAUCUGUAGUAUGCCCUUAUCAUCCAGUUAACUUAAUGGCUGGUGGGUUUACUUUUAGAUGAUUUGCUGUGUUCAUAUAUCAUCAGAGGUAUCAGCAGCUGGCCACAAUGAUGCCAAAAUGAGAAACUGUAUGCUGUGAUAUAACAAUGCAGGCUCCACUCUUUACAUGUUUGCACAAUGCAAGUAUGGAAGGGAUAAAUUUUAUAUCACGCUAAUCACCUGUUAUCUGUCAAGGUUCCGAUAGACAAGACCAAACAAAUCAGAACUCCAAGGCUUGAGAUUUCCUCAAAGAACAUGUUUAUUGGUUACAUAGUAUCGGCACGGUCAAAAGUGAAAUCAAGUCUGAAAUCCACUUCAAAGAAAGACAAUAUUACAAAGUUGAACUUCCCACCCCAAUGCUAUGCAAUCAGCUACGUUCCCCAAUAGAACAGUUUGGCGGGCUUUCUAACCAAAUGCUCAUGCCCCCCCAUUUAAUUGACAAAAAUGACCUUGGUUCCCAUGGGACAGUAAAAUGUUUAGACUAGUAGAAAUCCUCCACACCCCUUUCCAUUCUUGUGGCAAACUAGAAUGAGCAAAAUAGCUCAAGCCAAGUUCAUUGUAGAGUUGACAUUAUCUUUGUUCUGAGAUUAUGCGUAAUAUGUUGAACCAGGUCAGGUGAAAACAGAUAUACAAUCUAUGACAUGCUAAUCUUGGUUAUUAAUUUUGGUUAGGUUAUGUGUGUGUGUGUGUGUGUGUGUGUGUGUUAUGUUAGUAUUUUUAAACUCAGACUAAUUGAUUCAUUGAAUGUUCGAUGUAUUAUAUAAACUCAGAAUAAGUUGAUUUGAUUUCCAGUUUCUUUUAAAAAUUAAUUUCUGUCCCUUUAAACAUUUUGAACAUCUAAAAUUGAAAAGUUAUGAUUCCCAACAUGAAUGUCACAUGAAGACACUUCUUGGUAUCUUCUCAACAGCUUUGUACAUUUAGAAUUCAGAUAUUCUUUAUUGUACUGAAUAACAGAUCUUUAAAUUAUCUUAUUACAGUUACUGAUAUUAGUGAUCAUUGAGUUCAGAAACAAAUCAUUACUCACUUUAAAAUAUUGUCCCUUGCUUAAGGCUAUAAGCUGUUUAAUUACUGAAAUAUCAAAUUCUAAAUAAGCUAUUAGCUUAAGAAAUUAAGAUAGUAACAUAGUUUGUCUGGAACAAACCAUCCCCCAUGUCCUAGCUUCUGCAAAACAUAACAAUUGAAGAAGAUUGUUGUUAUAAAUACAUACUGUGAGUCUAAGCACUUUUACUCUGUAGAUCCCAUGGAAUUCAAUAGAAUGUAUUUCUCAUAAAGUCUGUUUUGGUUUGCAGCCUAAAUUGUACAGCUGACAAUUUAUUGGUAGACUUCUUUUGAGGCUAUCCAUUUAUAUUAAAAAUGAAGGAAAACAGGAAAGUUCUCAAACUAUCUGGAGACUUUUUUGGGACGAUCCAUUAAGACAUAUUAAGGAGUAUUUAAGCCAAUAGUUUUGGGUUUACAGUAAUUGCAGACCACUUAUUUAAAACUUCACCCAGCAGGACGUGCCCAUUACUUGAAGCGAUGGAGCAGGUCCCAUUGGUAUAUCUGUCUCUAACCCUAGGCCUUCACUGUACAUGGUAUAACAGCCACUGUGGCCUGUGCUCCAUCACUUUGCCAUGCGAUUCUAUGUAGUUUUGCUUGAAUAACAUAAAAUAACAUAUAUAAUGUUAUUUAUGUUAUUUCCCACGUGAAGAACUCCUGUAAACCUUGCCGUUUUGAAACUCAGUGAGGCAGGCGUCUUAGACAAGCUGAAAAACAAAUGGUGGUACGAUAAAGGUGAAUGUGGACCGAAGGAUUCUGGAAGUAAGGACAAGACAAGUGCCCUGAGUCUCAGC